rnacentral:lncRNA from 1 species
CUGCUGCUGCCGCUGUAGAUGCGGCGACGCGUUACCACAACAGGACGAAGCACUCGCUGACGGGGGGCUACGCCCGGGGCCCGCGCGGCCUGGACUGGGCCAAUCAGCCAAACCCCUUCCUCCGCUUCCUCUCCUCCCCUCUCCUUCCCCUCCUCCACUCUCCCCCUGAACCUCACGACGACUCCCCUCUCUACCACUCCGUCUUCUCCUCCUCCCUUCCUCCGCCGCAGCCCUUUUCCCACGCCUCCAUCUCCCGCCUCCUCUACGACUCCCUCUCCCUCUCCGCCUGGAAGUCCACCGGCCUCUCCACCUGGUCCCUCCGCGUCAACCCGUCCAGCGGCAACCUUCACCCCACCGAGUCCCACCUCCUUUCCCCACCUCUUCCCCUCUCGCAACAACAACCCUCCUCUCCUCCUCCUUUCUCUUCCUCUUCUUUCUUGGCCCAUUACUCACCCAAGGACCACUCCCUCGAGCUCCGCGCCUCGAUAUCCCCGCCGGACCUCCCCCUCCACCGAUCUCUGCUCCUCGCCUUCUCCUCCAUCCUCUGGCGGGAGGCCUGGAAGUACGGCGAGCGUGCCUUUCGAUACUGCAACCAUGACGUCGGCCACGCCCUCGCCGCCACCGCCGUCUCUGCCGCUACUCUCGGCUG